UGGUAGCUAGAAAUUCAUCAUCUGGAAGAAAAAUAUGUUCUCUCAAAUUCAUGAUAUGAGCAGCUAACAGUUCUCGACUCCGUGUCCGUAUGCCAUUAGAGAGGGUGUACAUAUUUCACACCCUAUGCUGGAAAACGUGAGAGAGAAAGAACAGUAAACUAGGGACGACCUACACGGCACAUUCUAAGCAAUAGGUGGAGCACAUACUCUCUGUGAUACAGUAGUCCNGAAUUGAUAGCUACAGAAACCUUGUCAAUUAUUGAGCGUCGACAUUAAAAACACAAUGAACAAAUUAUCAUUGAGAACUCUUCUCUUCAGGAUUACCAAAACUUACUUGAAAGAACCGAGACAAGAUUGAGUUUUUCAAGCGAGCGCCGAGUUCAUAUGUUCGCAGCCUGAAAAAUUCACAGUGUAGAGGUGUAGAGCCUACAGACCACGAUUGUAUGUAGUAGCCUACGAGCCUACAUUGCCGUAUAAUUCACUGCAUCACAAUCAUUCCGCAUUUGCGGAUCUAAACUGCCACAAGAUGAGGAAUAACUGCCGUCCAUAAAUAUCAACAUACACGCGUAUACACUUUCACAUAAAUACAUAUAUAUUUCUUUAUGUACAUAUGUAUGCAUUAUAUUUUUUAGCUCGGCGCAAUUCAAUAUUUUCCCAAUCCAUUCAUAAAUCACCAUUAAAACGGCAAUUUUUGUCACUUGCUGAAUCAAGAAAGCUAUAAACGUCGCAAAUAAGAUGAAACGAAACAAAGCUAAAUAAAUUCGAUUGCCCUGUAAAGCCCAUUAAAUCAAAUUAGCUUAAAAAGUAAGCGUUGCUUGAGAUUUAUUUCCAGGGCAACAUUAUUCCUCCUGUUAGGCGUUGGUCCAUUAUAACUGCUCAUAACUCACAACGGUAAUCCUUUGAAAGGACAUCGAAGUUGUGAUACUUCUCCUACAAAUGACCAUNAAAAUGCAAUUAGAGGUAAAUCAUUGCAUAUUUCGUUUACGAAAAACAAAACGCUCAUAAACACGAAGUGUGCGAGGCGACGAUGGCGAAGCAUUACGUGUUAGAUUGCGUUGCUUUACUUUUUACUAAACUGAAAAUAAUUUCAAACUUCGACCACAUAACAAUUUCGAUAAAAGAUCAAAGGCAUAGAAUUUCNUAACACAGAAUUUUUCAAAUUCUAUCUAUAAUAUCCAAACAAUUUUAACAUAAAUCAAAAGCUCCCCAGACACCAGUUUAGCAACAUUACAAUUUUAGUACAGAUAUUGUANGAAAUCUAUCCAUGGGAAAACUUACCAACUUUCUCGCAUAUGUAUAUACAUAAUAUCACAUCUAUCACACUUACUCAAACGUACAUACAUAUGUACAUAUGUGCACACACGAAUUGUAUAGUAUACCUUUCGAGAACAUGCUAAAUGGCAUUUUUAUGCAUUUUCAAUACCAGACACAGCAUUAAAAAAGCCUUACUAACCAUUUAUAUUUGUAUUUGAAGAAUAAUUCAUUAUUUGGAACGCGCUCGCCUCGACCAACUGAUGCGUUCACAAGCGCAUAGCAAUUUGGCACAUGGGCCAUCACACCCACGCACACACGUCUUAUCAUCCGUUGGCUGUUGGUACACCGUUUUAUCCCCACAGGACAUUAGAAAACAAGAAAAAUACGAUAUACAAAGAAGGGAAUGGGCAAGUGGAAAACUUUUUGUCACUCGGGGGUUUCUACGAUACAACUGUACAUAAAUGCCCCAUGAAAAAAUAUGUGGCAACCAAAUCGCCAUUAUACGAGUAACUACGACUGCGGUUAGUCCGAAAUCUUUGAGUUUCGUCUUGAAUAUGAAAUGGCUUGGAAAAGAAAAAUUGUGUCCAAGCCACUUCUCAAAUUAUUUUCAAUAUACACAAUAUACACACAUACAGAUGGACACACACACACACACACACAUACCCACUUUGCAUUCGUUAUUUCUCACUAUUUCGAGUGGACGAAUUAUCGUAUUAAGAAAACAUCUGAUAAGGAACACGUUAAAGAAAAGUGGAGUGAGUUAUUGGCAGCCCGUUCAAAUAGAGGACAGUAAUGAAGACUCAAUAAAUUUGCGAAAGAUCAAUUUGAUUUUGAACUGCAUAGCUCCAACGCUUAAUACGUACGGCCGUCGUUUCCGAAUUUGCUAGUGAUUACAGCAUAUCAAAUGCUGUGUUUUUCGAAUCUCUAAACAAAAGGCCUAAAGAGUAUUAUGUCUUAUAAAAUCCAUCAGUCGUUCGGAAAAAACUUGAGACAAGCUUCGUAAAUUAGCCUUAAAAUUGAUACUGGAGGGGAAGAAAAUCGCUUGGUUGCACAAAGAAACUUUUCAUCAAACUCGGUGCAAUUUCAAAUAGUUUCAAUUUUCAUUGCAAACAACUUUCUAUACAUGCAUGCUUAANACACUUGUAUAUAUGUAA
rnacentral:lncRNA from 1 species